rnacentral:lncRNA from 1 species
AAAAUAGUAUAUUGAAACAUAGGAUACCCUUAGUAGUUAAGCUUAGACAAGCGUGGAUUAUCUUUUAACAAAAUUAUUAAUCGAAUAUUAGUUAUGGAAACCAGAUAAUCCACGUACGUACGUAGUUUUGUAUUGUAUUAUCAAAUAUCGUCGUGUAAGAGAUACAAAUAGAUAACAAGAAUAUACCAUGAAACAUCAAUGCAUGUGUUAGGCAAUAAUCCCAACAAAAAUGUACUCC